UCCAGUUGAUAUAAAACAAUUACCCAUUUUCACCACUUUUUUUCAUAUCAAAAAUAAAAUAAAAGUGCUUAAUGAUGGUUCUAAUUUCACAAUAUUUAUGAACCAGUCAAAACCAAAACUAUUGAUAUCGAUGAGCAAUAAGAAUGCUACAAGUAUUGUGACCAUGCCUGGUAAAGAAAAGUAUUUUUGCUCAUACACGAAGUGGUCACACUGAAGCACAAUAGCCGAGUUGUUUUUAUAUUCAGCAGCAAAGCGCAGAAUGGAAAGAUCGGAAGAGUUUAUGAAAUAUUUGCGAUUCAAAACAAAAGAAACACAUCACACCACGACCGCUGGCGACAGUAGCAGGAGUUUAUUAGAUUAUGCUUUUUGUUUUUUUUUCGCUCAGCAACAGCACAGUAAUGACAACUGCAACAAGCUCAGCAGCAUAACAUCAGUAAGCAACGGCAAUGACAAUGUGGUAAAAUAUCUGCAGCAGGCAGCAAAAUGUUUGUCAAACAGCCAAAAUGUCUGCCGCCUGACUGACAGACGAUAGACAAUCGGACAACAGACAACGGACAUUGGACACUGGUGGACAUUGGACAUUUGGUUCCGAUGUGGGAUUUUGGGGAAAUGCUAGGGAAUGACGGUCGCUUCAUUGGCCGAGCGUUAAAAGGAUUUGCAAUUCAUGUACAUAAACAAUGACACCCAACCGCAGUGAAAGUACUUCUAUAUCUUAAGACACUCUACAACCAAAAAAAAAACAACUAUGGAGUAUGCUAUUAAAUUGUUUGUAAAAACUUUUCAGGAUCGAAAAUAAGUAAUAUCAGCAAAUGUCGAAUAUAUAAAUUAUUUCAGUUUUUUCCUAUAAUAUGUUAUUUAUUUAUUAUUUUAUUUCAUUAUUUUAAAAUUUGUAUAUAUUAAAUUAGUAACCAAUUAUAUAAUAAAAUUAUUUAUAUAAAAACGUAAAUAAAUAAAAAUACAAAAUGAAAA